GUGCUCGCUUUGGCAGCACAUAUACUAAAAUUGGAAUGAUACAGAGAAGAUUAGCAUGGCCCCUGCACAAGGAUGACAUGCAAAUUCGUGAAGCGUUCCAUAUUUUU
rnacentral:snRNA from 1 species